rnacentral:rRNA from 1 species
GAUGAACGCUGGCGGCGUGCCUAAUACAUGCAAGUCGAGCGAAUGGAUUAAGAGCUUGCUCUUAUGAAGUUAGCGGCGGACGGGUGAGUAACACGUGGGUAACCUGCCCAUAAGACUGGGAUAACUCCGGGAAACCGGGGCUAAUACCGGAUAACAUUUUGAACCGCAUGGUUCGAAAUUGAAAGGCGGCUUCGGCUGUCACUUAUGGAUGGACCCGCGUCGCAUUAGCUAGUUGGUGAGGUAACGGCUCACCAAGGCAACGAUGCGUAGCCGACCUGAGAGGGUUAUAGGCCACACUGGGCAUGAGACACGGCCGAGACUCCUACGGGAGGCAGCAGUAGGGAAUCUUCCGCAAUGAACGAAAGUCUGACGGAGCAACGCCGCGUGAGUGAUGAAGGCUUUCGGGUCGUAAAACUCUGUUGUUAGGGAAGAACAAGUGCUAGUUGAAUAAGCUGGCACCUUGACGGUACCUAACCAGAAAGCCACGGCUAACUACGUGCCAGCAGCCGCCGUAA